CUCGGGAGCCUCCACCCAGGCGCAUGGCUCCAUGAAGCAAGAGGAGGAGGCAGAGCGCGAGAGAUCCCGUCCGCCCCAGCCGCGUCUGGGCCAGGAGAAAAGCAAAACCAUAUUCCUGCUGCUGUCAGUUUUGAUGCACUGAGAAAACUUCAGAGACCUAAGCUUUUUCCAGAGAAGAGAAGCUUUACUGGUGUUCCAGCCCUAAGGCUCAUAUGACAUUAACAGACAAGACACUUUUCAGAAAGACAGGCAACGUGUUGGACCUUCCGGAGCUUCUCAGAAGACAGAGGGUUUUCUUUUGAGGUAAAUUUGAUAGUACAUUUUGAUAGUACAGGAGGCGAUACGGCAUGGUGACAGAAAAGCGCCGGCUUGGUUAGCGGGACCACCUGGCAGGGCUGCAGGCUGUGCCACUUACCAGGCAGGGGACCUUGGGCCAGCUGCUUGGCCUCACUCACCCUGUUUCCUCAGCUGCAAUUGGGAUGAACAGACUGCCUGCUUCGGGGUUGCCUAAAACUCACAUUGCUUAAUGAUGUGAAAUGCUUAGCGCAGUGCCUGGCAUAGAGAGAAUUCUCAUUAGAUGAUACCUCAGCUGGGCUUUAGGAGCUACAGAAGAAGCUGCAUCUCCAUGAGCUCAGCGUGUUUCUAGCUUUCCUUUUUGUUUUCUAUUCAACCUUUCACCCAACUCAGCUUCUCAAUCCCUAAAUGACAAAGGUUUGGGAAGGAAGACUUGGACCGAUGCUUGCAUUUGUUUCUGAGAAUUAAACGUUAUGUUUUCUUCAAUCCAAAUA
rnacentral:lncRNA from 10 species